CUCGCUAUUUAGACUGCACAUCUCUAUCUAUCUCUCUUACCAUUUCAGUCUCAAGCCUUUGUCUUCUCCUCGUACGACUCUCUGCCGCUUCGUGUUCCUUCUUCGAUCGCGUCCAUCAGAAGAAGGGGGCCUCUCCGAUUAACCCGACUUUCAGGAGAGACGACAGAGAUGGAUAACAAGGGCAAGUCCAAGGUGGUGUUGGAAUGGAAGAAGAAGAAGAAGAAGGAUUCAGGUGGCAGUCGUAGCAGAGAUAAGGAGAUAUGGGAAGACGUGGACGCUGCUGCUCUCACCGCCGGCGGCGGCCGCCUAAGGAGCCGCAUC